rnacentral:rRNA from 1 species
UACAGAGGUCCCAAGCGUUGUUCGGAUUCACUGGGCGUAAAGGGUGCGUAGGCGGUCGGGUAAGUCUGAUGUGAAAUCUCCGAGCUCAACUCGGAAAUGGCAUUGGAUACUACUUGGCUAGAGGGUUGGAGGGGGGACUGGAAUACUUGGUGUAGCAGUGAAAUGCGUAGAUAUCAAGUGGAACACCAGUGGCGAAGGCGAGUCCCUGGACAACUCCUGACACUGAGGCACGAAAGCUAGGGGAGCAAACAGG